UCUAAAUCCCGAUAAAAGAAUAGUGUAUUAUGAGACGCUAUCCAAGCAAGCAUCACUGUCCAUAACAUCGGUGCAUUGCGCAUGCACAAAAAACACAGGAACGUGUAAGAUCGAAAAGUAACACACAAAAAGAAACAGAGAGUUUAGGACAAGAAUCAUCAAAUACAAAACUUGCUGAUAAAACAAUAACCCCAUAAACCAUCAUGACAGUGACGCAACAGGAAUCAGGAUCAACUAUCACAAAUCCUAUCCAAGAUGUGCGACCUCCCUUCUAAAUGGUCUGAUGAAAAAAGAGAUUUCAGAACUCAGAAAAGACGUAACAGACAUCGGUAAUAGAGUUGACGUCCUAGAAUCUACACAAGGUGAAACAAUAAAAGAUAUUAAAGCUAUCUCUGAGCACCAAGAGCAGCAAUCUCUCCUGAUACAGGAUUUAAAUAACAAAAUAGAAGAUCUGAACAAUAGAGGCCACAGAAAUAAUCUAAGACUUCGAAGGAUACCUGAAACUAUUGGCCCGAACAGACUAGAAAACUAUCUGCAAUCACUAUUCCAACAUCUAUCAGGAUCAUCGGAAUCUACAGUAACUUUUCUAUCGGAGAGAGCCCACCGAGCUCUUAGAGCGAAGCCUUUGAGUCAAGUGCCUCCUCAUAAUGUUAUCAUAAAGUUCCUAAACUUCAAGGAGAAAGACACUAUAUGGUAACAUUUUAGGGACAAUCCCAAUCUUAAAUACCAAGAUCAUGAUCUACAAGCAUACUUGAAUUUGAGCACCCUUACAAUACAAAAAAGAAAGGACUCUAAAUUCAUCACAUCAGUGUUGCAAAAAAACAACAACAUAAAAUACAGAUGCGGUUACCCAUUUGGUCUAAUAGUAUUCUUAAAUGGCAAAACCUGGAUAUAUUAGAAGCCUGAGUGACUUGGACUCUUUCUAAAGGGCUUAUUCUGACAUUUUCUCUCCCAUCUGACCAAAACAACUCUAUGGCUGCAAAGAGGAAACUUCUCAACCAAAGUCCAUCACUGGAGGAGAAACCCCAGAUGCCUCAUCAACUAGACCCAGCCACUGAAUCUGUCACAUGAAGCUCUAGAAAGAUGGCAUAAUUACAAUUUGGUUGUUUCACAAAAGGGCAGCCCAUAUCCUUUAAAUGAAUCUCAGUUCUGUUGCAAAAUUUAUAUAUUUCACAUGUUUAUUAUCAUGAUUGUUAUGUAUUUUUUUCCUUCAGGUUUAUAUUUAUUGUGAUCUAUGUUAUUUGUAGUGUAGGUUUGGGUGGGUCUUGUAAUGUAAGAAGCUUCUUUACAUAACUUGAGACAAAACAGUUCUACCUCUAAAUACUUACGCUCAGACUGCCUAAAAUCUCCACAAAAAUGGACUAUACAUGAAUAUGAGGAAAAAAUCGUCUAUGAAAACAGAAAUUUUAUUAAAUAGGGGAACGUGUGGUGGCGUAAUAUAGAUGAUGUUUUGGCAUAUGGUUGGGUGAUAAUGUAUAUCUUUUGGAGUUCGUUACUAAACUUAAUUCCUCAGUA